rnacentral:rRNA from 1 species
AGUUCCGUAGGUGAACCUGCGGAAGGAUCAUUA